GCCUGGCUGGCUCAGUCAGUAGAGCAUGAGACUCUUGAUCUCGAGGUUGUGAGUUCAAGCCUCAUGUUGGGUG